AAGUUGGGAUACAUUGUAUCAGUCAGAAGACUAUGUGGUACUGCAGUAGCAAACAACUCUGAAGCCUCAGUGGUUUAAAACAGUUAAGGUUUGUUUCUGGUUUAUACAACGUGAGUUGGCGAAGCUCCUUUGUCCAGGAUAAUCAUUCAGUGUCCAUCUCAGCACGGGUCACCACAAUUGCACAGCAGCUUGAAUUUCAUCCUCAGAAACCAUUCAAGCAAAGAAAAUUCUAUAAGGCAUGGAAGGCUUUGAUGUGAAUAUUUAUCUACUUUUGUAAAUCAUUGGCAGUGACUUCUCUCAAUAACUCAUGUGGACCAAAGGAACAGUAAAGGGAACAUUUGCUCUCUCGAACAUGGGAGCCUUGUACCUGGUGGAGCAGACUGAACUGGAUGUUAGUUGUGCAGACUUGGUUCUGAACUGGACAGGAGGGCAAAGCACCCUGAAUGAAAACCGCUUGUCCUUAGGCACUUUCACACACCUAGGCAUGCCCCUCCUUUUGGUUCUAAAUAGUUUUCUCACUUCAGUGGGGAAAAGAAUGAGGUAAUGGUCCUUAUGGGAAUGCCAUGCUUACUGUCUCAAGUCUUAAACAGCUGGUCAAAGCCUUACAUUUUUUCCCUCUGGAUUCUGCCCUGUCCCUUCUAGAGUUCCAGAUGUUGGUUUUGUGCAGAUGUAGACAGUUUUGGCUGAGAAUUGAAUAUAUAAAAGACAAAAGAAUGUUGAAGUUGGCCAGGUCAAAAGGAGAGGGAUGAGUGUGACAUGCGGAAGGAAGGAGAACAAAAACAGAAUCCAAAAGAAGAGAAAUCAGAGAGGAAGAAACCCCAAGAGAAAAGAUUCUCAAAGGAACUUACCAAGUGGAUUCUACCAGUUUUAAUUUUUACCCGAAGAACUCUACUGAUUGUACCAUUGUGUCAUAACAGUGAUCUUGACUUUAUAUCUUAUACUGGCCAUUCCAGAUAAGGAAAUAAGUGUGCCACUAAUAAAAGUUGAGGUUGUGGAAUGUAAAGGAUUAUG
rnacentral:lncRNA from 1 species